rnacentral:tRNA from 1 species
GUAGAUAUAGUUUAACUUAAAACAUUAGAUUGUGGUUCUAAAACAGAUGGCAAUUAUUCUCUUAUCCACC